UCCAUGGCUUCCGCCAUUGAAUCGGUCAUUGAUUCUUAGAGCCACCCAGCAUUCUUCGAUUUUUAUCGCAUAGAGUUUUUUGAUCCAGAGAGAGAGAGAGGGAGAGAGAGAGAGAGAGAAAGAGGACGAAGAGAAAAAGAGACCAAUCCCCAACUUUCUCUCUCUCUCUCUCUCUUUCUUUCCUUCUCAAUUUCUUAUCGAUUUUCUAUUGUUUUCGAAGAAGCUCUAAUCAUGAACGAGAAGGCUACCGUUUCCAGGGAACUAGAUGCUGAACACACAAAGAUACUAGAGGAACUUCUCACGCUUCCAGAAAAUAUGGAAUGUGCUGAUUGUCGGGACAGGUCCCCAAAAUGGGCAAGCAUCAACCUUGGAAUAUUCAUAUGCAUGCAAUGCUCGGGAAUUCACCGGAGUCUUGGAGUACAUAUUUCAAAGGUGAGGUCUACAACUCUAGAUACAUGGCUGCCUGAUCAGAUUGCAUUCGUGCAAUCUAUGGGGAAUGAGAAGGCAAAUAGUUAUUGGGAAGCAUUGCUACCACCAGACAGUGAUAGAAGUGAUAUUGAAAAAUUCAUACGAGCCAAGUACGAGGAAAAAAAAUGGGUUUCUGAAGAUGUUCAACUAAUUAAUAUGAUUAGUGAAAGACAUUCAGACUGUGACAAACCAAUAGAAGGUGGAGCUAGAAUUCCAAGGAAAGCAAGAAAGUAUUCUUUGGAGGAGGACAUUUUUGACACAAAAAUGUCUCAAGUUGCUUCAACAAGACCUCGCUGGGGUUCUGUAGACAUGAGUAACAUGACGGAUAAAUUAAUUGUUGAAUCUCCUCCAAGUGAUGUCAGUGUUGAACAGCAACCAUCAAAAGUGAGUGACACUGCAACGGAUCUCUUCAGUUUGCUUUAUGCCCCAGAGGUUAAGCAAGAUCGUGUUGUAGUACCUCCAUCCCGCUGGGCUACAUUUGAGUGAGAUAAUGCCUCAAAGGAGGAACUUAUGGAGCUAAACUCCGAAUGCUCUUGGAUUAUAAUAGAACUUAUGGUCAAAAUAGUGAAAACUGUUAGAGCUGCAUCUUCUUAACAGGUACUAAAUGCUCCACCAUUGUUUCCACCUAGCUUCACUACUUAUGAUGAGAUUGACAUUUGUGAAGCAAAUACAGAUCAACAUAUGUAUUGACUCAGCUGUCCAUAAAAUAAUUGUACAUAUGUACAUUUUCAUUUCCACCUUUUAGUCUCUGAAGAUUAGCUUGUGAUAGCAGAAUUAACGCUAUGAUAAUACUUGCUAUGUUCUUC